GGCACAGCAGGGGUAUUCCUUCUGACUGCACGCACAGGCGCACGGCCAUGGCAUGGCAUCCGCGGAUCACGAACGCACGGAUGGGUCGCGCACUUGCCUUUGCGUGGCGAGGAGCUCCUGGAUGGACACGUAGAGGUGCUUGCCGCAGGAGGAGUCCAGGGAGACGGACCGCCGCAAGGGCUGCACCGCGAACUCCGCGUCCGUCUUCCUCGUGUCGAUGGCCUCGUCGCCGACGCUCUCCGCCGCCUUGCUGCACCGCGGCGCCGGCUGCUUCGGCGGCUGGCGCCGGGGCGUCGUCGUCGUCGUCCCGUGGCUGCUGCUGAACCACCUCUCGCGCUCCCCUCGCACCUCGAUCACAAUGCUUUCGCUGGCGAGCGCGUCGUCCCGGCGCCUGCUGGUGGGAAGGACCGCCGCCGCCGCCGCCGGGGCGCGCCGCGCCGACGGGAUCGCCGGCAGCGUGACGUCGCUCCGGCAGAAGGGGCACCGCGCGCUGCCCUGCAGCCACGUGUCGAUGCAGUCGAUGUGGAAGGCGUGGGAGCAGUUGGGCAACAGCCGGACGCGCUCGCGCUCCACGAACUCGCUCAGGCACACGGCGCACUCCGACACGGAUAUCCUCGGCGCCACGCCACCAGCGCCGGCGCCGGCGUCGCAGGAGGCGGCAGUGAACUUGACGACGGGGAGCAUGCGGAUGAGCGGCAGGCCCAGGCCCCGCCGCCCGUCGCCGCGGACGACGGACGACGGCUCGUCCCGCCUGCCUGUUAAGCCGCCGCCGCCGGCCCCCCGCACGCGCCGGUGCCACGGCGGCUGGCGCGACCACACCGCGCGCAGGAGCUGGCACUUGGUCACGAACGCGUAGUAGCUGGCGAGGAGCGCGAACGCCGCGAGGAUGCCCACGACUGUGAUGAUCACCAUGGUGAUGCUCGCGCCGGACGACGACGACGUCGGCGGCGAGGGCGAGGACGAGGACGAGCUGGAGGCGAAUAGCGCCAGUGGUGGCGGAGGAUCCAUUUCUAGCCACCGCCCUCCUCCCGGUCCCGGCCGAGAUAUCAAGGCUGCUAGUCCGGAACAGUUGUGGGCAGAGAAGCGUACGCGCAGGGAAAGCAAAGGCUGUGUGACUUGUGAGAGAGACGUAGAGCGGAGACGUAGCAGUGACAUCCAACGGACGGCGGCCACCACUAUUAUACCAAGCGAAGCGACCAGCGGACCAGGCUUCAAGCUUGUGGGUCAACAGCGCAGCUAAAUGCACGUUAGUUAUAGGACCUUACCUCUUCAUAGGUCACCAUCGCGACUCUAGAACAAAAAUACCUUUACAACAAACUUUUGCAC
rnacentral:misc_RNA from 1 species